rnacentral:lncRNA from 1 species
UUCAACUCACUAAGUUACGAGUUGAUUAUUGGUUCACCAAUCUACUAGGCUUUGAAUUUCAUGGUAAUGUUUUGUUUUUGAGUGCAUGCAAGCAUGAUUCCGCCUUUAAUUGUUAAUUGCAUGCUAUAUGAUGUUGCUCAAAUGAACAUGUUUUUUCAAAAUAAAUCCUUCAAGUGGUAUCAGAGCCUAGGUCUAGUAGUUGGUGAAUCCUUUUGGGUUUUGUAGUUCAUAAGUUUAUGAUUUAAAAGUUGUAAUUGUUACAAGCUUUAUUCUUGCUUCUUUGAAUGUAAAUUUUGUUUGAAAAUUUGCCAUCUCAAAUGUUGUAGAUGUAGUUCAUAUGAGCAUGAAUAUUGGAGCUAAAAUUUGGUGUCAUGAUUUUGGGGAUUUUCGGCCAAAUCCAAAGGGUGAUUUUUUGGGUUCAUGUUUGUCUUGUUAAAAUGGUUUUAAGGUGACUUUUGGAACCCCUAAGUACCCUAGGAUGUUAGCCUCAUUUUGAAUGAUGAAAAUUUGAGUUUUAUUGCAUGAAAACAUUCAUGGAGCUCUUAUGGGUUUUCAUGGAUGUUCUUCAUAUGUUCUUGAUGUUCUUGCCAAGAACACAAAGGUUUGUGUUUUGAUUCAAAGUUUUGAUUUAUUUCAUAAAGUUUAUGAUAUAUGUUUUUCAAAUGAUUUAUCAUGUAUUUAAAGUGUUAAAUAUUUGUAUAAAUGAUGAUGGAAACAUCAAUCAUCAAAACAUAUAUUAAUUUUAUGAAAGUAUUUAAAGUGUUAAAUAUUUGUAUAAAUGAUGAUGGAAACAUCAAUCAUCAAAACAUAUAUUAUUUUUAUGAAAGGUGAAAGCACUACUUGAUUGUUUUUGACAAAACUAAUAAAUCAAAACACCCACCACUCCUUUUUAUCCCUAAAAACCGGCCACCCUAAUAAAAUAGGGUAAUUUUGGGGCUUUUAUGCAAUUACAUAAAGUUUUGAUACUUUUGUGUAUUUGUACUUUGACCCGAAAGUUUACGUUUUGACGUUAAGGCCUAAAAACGCUAAAGGACAAAUUGUUUUGCUCCUUUAAUGAAGUUUUUGAAUUUAUUUAAAUUUUGGGUUCUAGUUGUAUUUACAUGAAGUAGUGACUUUUGUGUUUUUACAAAGUGACCCCAAAAGUUUAUGUUUUUCGCAAUAUGGCCCAAAAAGUUGUGGUUAUUGCA